AGAUUGAACGCUGGCGGCAUGCCUUACACAUGCAAGUCGAACGGCAGCACGUGAGCGACCUUGCCUCGUGGUGGGGGAUAGCCGGCCCAACGGCCGGGUAAUACCGCAUAUGGUAGUUUCUUCGCAUGGGGAGACUAGCAAAGCCUUGGAGCAAUCCAAUGGCGCCACAGGGGGGGCUCGCGGCCUAUCAGCUAGUUGGGGGGGUAAUGGCCCACCAAGGCGACGACGGGUAGCUGGU
rnacentral:rRNA from 1 species